UCUGCAGGAUUUACGCGCACGUUGGAACCGAAGAGAGCUCUGUUGUUGCAGUAAGUUCUUACGGCCAUUUCUUAAUCUCUGCUCUUUCGUUGAGUGUGUGGAAGUUGCUACGGGGAUGAUUUUACGAACUGAACUCUCUCUUUCUGAUGGAUUAGUGGAGAAAACAGAAAAUUCUGAGUAGCACUGUACUGUACGCAACAAAUGUCAGGGCCCUAUUGAUUUGUCUGAGGUGUUAGUGAAGGGUGUUAUUUUUUCAGAUGUUCAGCCCACAAGAGCUUACUGGUGAAGGAAUGGGACAAGACCCAUCUUUAUGCAAAGCCAGCGUUACAGUAAUGUUCCAGCAUCUCAUAAUCUAUCCUGGGGAAUUCAGCUGCCUCCCAGGGUGAAUACAGGUAUUCCUGAUGACAGUCUGCCUCUAUCUUACAGAGCAGCUUGUUGCUAUAUACCAUUGAAAAGCCUUCAGAGCUGAGAGGUACUACUAACCAAUAACCUGCUUGGCUCAAAGGGCCAGCACCUUCUCUCUAAAGCCCAAGAGGAGUUUGAGGAAAACUAGGUGUCUGUGUUCACUCCAGGCUGAAGUUACAGGUCUGAGCAAAUAAGGUGUAUAAAAAAUGGAAUCUGUCUUGGAGGACAUCAGAAGGUGAAUUUUCCAAGUUCUUGGACAACCUAGCUGUUGAAAAGCUUUCUGGGUUUGGGGGGUAUUUCAGAUGUACCUUAAAGUGUUAGCAGACACAGAUUAAGACACUGGGAGCCAAUGAAACAGCAGUUGAGGGUUUGCUGUGUAUCACAUUUCUGUAUUUUAUCACCCCCUUCCUGCAACAUUAUUUAUCUGGAAUCUACCUGCCCUUUUGUUUUUUAGAUACAAGGGCUUGGUUUUGUUACCCAGGCUGGUUUCAAGGCCAUAGCUUUAAGAGAUCCUCUCACCACAGAUUUCCAAAGUGCUGGGAUUGCAGGUGUGAUUCAUGGCACCCAGACUUUGCUGCCUUUCUUACAUGAUCCAGGCCCAGAACCCAAACUCAGGCACUGUAUAGAUGACCACUUUCGUAAACUACUGACCUAGCUUGUUGCCAAUUGUUGAUUGAACUUCCCAUAACUCCACUUCGUGUCUGUUCCUCUGUAUACAGCCACCUUCUGUUCCCGUCAUGAGCCUUUAGGUCUCCAUUUGCAUAUUGCAAAUACUAUGUUCCAUGUAGGUAGCUCAUUCAGGGCCUUGCUCUUCACUUCAAAAAAGGUUCCCUUGAGGACUGGCUGUCAAUUUGUGUUGCUGUGUUGGUUGUUGAUGAAAAUAAUAAAAUGAUUGAUUACAUA
rnacentral:lncRNA from 1 species